CCCUUAGAUGUCCUAGGCCGCACGCGCGCUACACUGACAUGUUCAACAAGCCUCCUAGUUCGACAGGAUUUGGGAAAUCUUUGAACGCAUGUCGUGAUAGGGAUAGAUCAUUGCAAUUAUUGAUCUUGAACGAGGAAUUCCUAGUAAACGCGAGUCAUCAGCUCGCAUUGAUUACGUCCCUGCCCUUUGUACACACCGCCCGUCGCACCUACCGAUUGAAUGUUUCGGUGAAGAUUCCGGAUAGGACUUUUUUGAUUUAUUUCAAUUUUGUCUUAAAAGCUAUCUAAACCUCAACAUUUAGAGGAAGGUGAAGUCGUAACA
rnacentral:rRNA from 1 species